ACACCUCAAAAAAAAAAAAAAAGAAAGCAAGUCCAACCCUCUUUGGACUAUAUAUUGAGUGAGCGCUAACACAGCCCUGGGUUUGUGAUCCUCUUUUCUGAUAUGGAAAUUGAUGGCUCCAUAACGUGUAUCUGAGGCCACGUUCAUCUUCUUUAGCAAAGAUGCCAUAUCUGUCAUGGCAGCUGCAGUUGGGUUUGUGAUAGUCUAUUGUCAUCCUCCAGGACAUAUGACUGAUUUCUGUAGGGGUCCCAAUGGAUGAAUUAGGUGGAGUUGAAAUGGGGAUCUCUACCAUAUCCUUUAGAUCCUUAAGGGUGGCAUUAAUUUCUGUCAUCCCUCUGAGGAUAUGAAUUUGUUUUUAUUUAAUACCUUGGCCGGGAGCAGGAUGGGAGUACGUAGCAGUUUCAAAGGCUUCUACUUGGUCUCCUCUACACUGAUAGAUGGUUUUUACCCCACAGGCCAAGGAUCCAGUGUGAGGGUUGUAUCAUCCCCCAACUAUGUCUGUUCCAACUAUGCAUCUGGAAUAUACAAUGGGCCCACAGUCAGCCAGAGCCUGUCAACAGUCUGUUUGUAGCCGGCUCUUCUGAACCCACUGUAAUAGAGGCCAUGAUACUGUGGGUCUCUAGCUACCAAUGUUACCUCAGACCCUGUGUCCAACAGUGGUUAAGUGCUUGAGUAUUCCCCCUUCUCCUGCAAAAUAAACCAACUCUCCCAUAACCAGUCUCACAUCCCAGCUUUCUUUGUCAAGCACCCUUGGAAUUCAUUCCCACAAAACUCCGCUGGCUCCUGCUAGUCUCUGUAGCUCUGUGUUGCAACUCCUUGGGCAUCCAUUUCCUGUCUAACCUGACCCAGCAAAAACCCUGGCUGGGUUAUUCUGUGACUUAACCCUACUUAUGCACCUCGCGGCCAGGAGGCGAGGUAGGGACAAAUCCUGGGGGAUACUGUCUUGAGGGGGGAGAGGCAAGGGAGGAGUGCCAGCUCCUAAAAGGGAGGAGAGUUCACUUCUUCAGGAUCAGAACGUUCCGGGUAUCUGGGAAUUAAAGAUUUUCAGGGACAUCACUACUGAUUUCUCCACUGGAUGUGUCGAGGUCCCAUUCUUCCCUAACAAGAGCCUUGACCUUGUUAUGGCAGACUGGCCUUAACUGCGAGUUGAAUAUUCUUUGAAUCUGAGAUACUCUGAUAAUUAAAACCUGGACCUGUUCUUCAGCUUGCUUUGUUUUGCUACUGCAGGAGAUGAGAGUCUCCUGGCUACCAAAGAAACCCUCUGGCUUUCACCGUUGGCUUUCAGUUGCCUAUUAAUCACUGUCAGCAUUUUGUUAUCUUUCACUGAAGCAAUUAUCACAGUAGCCACCCAGUCUCAUUGUUAUGGUGACUAUUUCCUCCAUAAUUUUCAAAUGUCUGAUAUACCGUGUGUGCUAGUAUUUUCUCUUCCUUGGUACGCAAUCCUCCUUUACCAUUGGUGAAAGUUCACAAUUGGACUGUCCCCUUGUGUCGGGGGCUAUUUGCUCCAACUAUCACUCGAUGGGGUCAGCAAUGCCAACGUGGUGGUAAGAGAUUCAGCUCUAAAACUCUAUCUUAUACCUACUUUCUCAGAUCACCCUUGCUACUAACUGUCACAGGCUGAGUACCACGGGAAGCAGACUCUGAGACUGAGUUUGAUGUACAGGAUAUUUAUUAGGUGGUGUCCUCAGGAUCAACACAUGUGGUUAGGGUGACAAAUACAUCCUGGUUUUCCUGGGACAUUUUUUAUUUUAACACUGAAAAUCCAGCAUCCUGAGAACUCCCUCAGUCCUUGGAAAACCGGGACUGUUGGUAACCCUACCUGUGGUAGAGAGGGGGCAGAAGCAGGGUUGAAUGAAGGGACAAGCCAAGCUGUAAUCCAGGCCUGAUGGCCUCAGCUAACCCCAUAGACAAAGAAUUCUGGAAUUAAAUUUUCGCUUCAGACAUGUCCAGCAUCAGGCUAAAAUGGCCAGGCAUUUAUACUCCUGUUGCCUCAGACAUUGAAUGUGGGCUGCCCUGGGAAGGGCAUGGCCGUGGGUGGGCAGUCUCUGAAUGGGGCUGACAGCUAAAGCUAUCUGCUGACAGCACUUCUAGGAGUCCGGGCCACAAACCCUUCCAUGAAAAGGGAUCUGUGUGUUGCAUCCCUGUGUCUAAUACAGAUGUAUGUAGAUAUAUUCUUAUAUUUGCAUAGAAUAUCUGUGGAGGAAUGCACAGGAAAUUGGUAUCAGUUGUUACCUCCAAAGAGAGGAUAUAGGUGACCAGGAGAGCAGAGUGGAAAGAGGAAAUGCUCUAAGGAGACAGUCCUUUGUACAGUUUGAAUUUUUCCAUCAUGUUAAAUGAAUACGUACAUUGCAAACAUGAACUUGAGUUGAAAUAUCAGUAAAUAAAUAAAAAUUGAAAUAAAUUAAGAAAUAAUUCAGAACCUAAGGAAAUAAAAUGUUUUGUUUCUAAAACACUUUCAUUUGGCAGGUAUUGAUGGAAUACCUAUCACAUGCCAGGAUCCUGGAGACCCAAAAGUGAAAUAUAGACAAAACCCCUGUUCUUAUGGAUCUAAAAAUAUACCACAUCCCUAGUUAACCAAAUGGGUAUAAAUAUUUAAUUCUACCAAGUUUAUAUUCUUAUUUUUCAAUCCAAACCAACAUAUCCAUUUGGGUUGUAUGAAUAGUAAUAUUAAUAAACUGGUUUGUUAUGGAAUUGCCACCUGAUUUUACACAAAAUCCAAAGAGUAUAUCCACAACACAGUGUUUUACAACAUUCGUUUUGUUUUAGCUUUAACAUUAACCUUUGAUGUUAAUGCCUGUGUUUCUAUUUCUUCCUUUCCCUCCCUGUUCCCCCACAUCAUCUUAUUAUGUAAAUUUUAUAUGGUCCUGAAUCUUUUUCAGAAUGAGUGUGGGUAUAUAUAAAUGAAAUAUAAAUGCUCUAACACCGUAUUUAUGGUCCAUGCUGUGCUGAAUAUAAUAAGGCAUGUGGGAUCAACAAGGUUGAAGCAGAACACUAAAAAUUUAUGGUACCCUGUAACCAGAACACCAGUAAAAGCAAUACUACUACUAAUAAAAAUGCUAGCAGUUAGCUUUCUUCCAGUAUUUGCACCAAGCCUCACUGUUAAUCAUUUACUUCCUUACAAUUCCAUGGGGUUUAAGACGUAGGCCUUAGAGAGCAUUUGCUUCUGAAAGACCCUGUUUUCAACAAAUUUAGAAAUCUGAUCCAGUCUGAAGCCUUCACACUUAUUUGUAAGUUUGGUGAGUCAGAAUCACUGUAAUUGCUAAAUGGUAAUUCUUAUGAAGCUACCUGGGGGAAAAGUAUUAUCCCUCACAUAACACAGCAAGGUUUUAAUAGGAAUUCUUGGCUGGGAAGGGACACCACUGGAAGUAAGAAUUCAAUUUUGCUUUCUGGAUAAAAAGAAGUAAAGGAGAAAAUUACGAUAGGUUCUGAAAUUUAGGAAAAUGGAGGAAAGAAGUUGUUUCCAGAGACUUUCUAUAAAAAGCACAUGUGAUUGCUGAUGUGACAUUGAUGAAUAUAGAUUGAAAUGAGUUUAUUCACUCCAUUUUGUGAUGAGAUCACUCACUAGUUAGAGAUGCCAUGCAAUUAAAUUAAAUACAAACUUGCUAAAAACAAGGGAAUUGAAAGGGCAGAAUUCUACCUGACAUCCCGUAACAUGAAUGGCUUUGAAAGUGUCAUUGGAAAGCGUCACUUAGGUGCAAAUCCUUAGAGGUUGGAAUUUAAAAGAGAAUGAACACAUUUCUAGGUUACAUGAGACAGAGGUUAUCAGGAUCCUCAUACCCAUGAAGAACUAUUAGAAGAAAAUAGAAAGGGAAGAAAUAUACAGGUUCAUCAACUUGUAUAAGUUCAUUCUUAAAUAACAAUAGUAAAUAACUAUUCAAUUAAAAAAAGGUUAAAAAAAAGAAAACAGGUAAGUCAAUCUGAAAAUGUCCCUAUGUACAUUAUCUUGAACAAUUAAAAAAUUUAGGAAUCAAAUGCAUAUAUCUACAUUUGCUGAGAGAUAUUUGUUCAUCCAGUUUGGGCAAAUGUCACAGAAUUUAGAGUCAAAGGCCUAGGACAAAUUCCCACCUCUACCACUCACAGGGCUUGGACAAGUUAACUGUUUGGAACUUAUGUUUUCAUUUGUAACAGGGGUUCUUCAAGAAACAAACAUUUUUGAUCGCCUUACUAUGUGUGGGCUCAAGGAUAUGGAAAUCCACAAGACAUGACGUUGGUUUGCCAGAAGCUUGUAUUCUUUGGCAGAUGGUGAUACUGAAAUCACAGGAUUGUUGAGAUGACUAGAAGAGUGAAAGUGUUUGCUAAACUAUAAGAUUUUAUGCAAUUUUUAUUAAUGAAUAAAGUGAUUCAUAGUUUGCUAAUGGGAAGACAUAAAAAUUAGGCAUUUAAUAAAGAAAUGUUAGAUAAAC